AGAGUUUGAUUAUGGCUCAGGACGAACGCUGGCGGCGUGCCUAAUACAUGCAAGUAGAACGCUGAAGGAGGAGCUUGCUUCUCCGGAUGAGUUGCGAACGGGUGAGUAACGCGUAGGUAACCUGCCUGGUAGCGGGGGAUAACUAUUGGAAACGAUAGCUAAUACCGCAUAAUAGUAGAUGUUGCAUGACAUUUGCUUAAAAGGUGCAAUUGCAUCACUACCAGAUGGACCUGCGUUUGUAUUAGCUAGUUGGUGGGGUAACGGCUCACCAAGGCGACGAUACAUAGCCGACCUGAGAGGGUGAUCGGCCACACUGGGACUGAGAUACGGCCCAGACUCCUACGGGAGGCAGCAGUGGGGAAUAUUGGGCAAUGGGCGCAAGCCUGACCCAGCAACGCCGCGUGAAGGAAGAAGGCUUUCGGGUUGUAAACUUCUUUUAUGAGGGACGAAGAAUGUGACGGUACCUCAUGAAUAAGCCACGGCUAACUACGUGCCAGCAGCCGCGGUAAUACGUAGGUGGCGAGCGUUAUCCGGAUUUACUGGGUGUAAAGGGCGCGUAGGCGGGGAAGCAAGUCAGAUGUGAAAUCCAUGGGCUCAACCCAUGAACCGCAUUUGAAACUGUUUCUCUUGAGUGCCGGAGAGGUAGACGGAAUUCCUAGUGUAGCGGUGAAAUGCGUAGAUAUUAGGAGGAACACCAGUGGCGAAGGCGGUCUACUGGACGGUAACUGACCGCUGAAGGCGCGAAAAGCGUGGGGGAGCAAACAGGAUUAGAUACCCCUGGGUAGUCCACGCCCGUAAACGAUGAAUACUAGGUGUGGGGAGACUGACCCCCGUUCCAGUGCCGCAGCUAACGCAAUAAGCACUCCGCCUGGGGAGUACGACCGCAAGGUUGAAACUCAAAGGAAUUGACGGGGGCCCGCACAAGCGGUGGAGCAUGUGGUUUAAUUCGAAGCAACGCGAAGAACCUUACCAGGUCUUGACAUCCCUCUGACCGCUCUAGAGAUAGAGUUUUGCCUUCGGGACAGAGGUGACAGGUGGUGCAUGGUUGUCGUCAGCUCGUGUCGUGAGAUGUUGGGUUAAGUCCCGCAACGAGCGCAACCCCUAUUGUUAGUUGCCAUCAUUCAGUUGGGCACUCUAGCGAGACUGCCGGUAAUAAACCGGAGGAAGGUGGGGAUGACGUCAAAUCAUCAUGCCCCUUAUGACCUGGGCUACACACGUGCUACAAUGGCUGGUACAACGAGUCGCAAGCCGGUGACGGCAAGCUAAUCUCUUAAAGCCAGUCUCAGUUCGGAUUGUAGGCUGCAACUCGCCUACAUGAAGUCGGAAUCGCUAGUAAUCGCGGAUCAGCACGCCGCGGUGAAUACGUUCCCGGGCCUUGUACACACCGCCCGUCACACCACGAGAGUUUGUAACACCCGAAGUCGGUGAGGUAACCGUAAGGAGCCAGCCGCCUAAGGUGGGAUAGAUGAUUGGGGUGAAGUCGUAACAAGGUAGCCGUAA
rnacentral:rRNA from 1 species